CGUUGAUAGGCCGGGUGUGUAAGCGCAGCGAUGCGUUGAGCUAACCGGUACUAAUGACCCGUGAGGCUUAACCUUACAACGCCAGAGGCGUUU
rnacentral:rRNA from 1 species